rnacentral:rRNA from 1 species
UCCAGACUCCUACGGGAGGCAGCAUUUGGGGAUAUUGCACAAUGGGGGGAACCCUGAUGCAGCGACUCCUCUUGGGUGAAGGAUCUUUUCGGCGCUUCAAGCCCUAUCGUCCUUGAAGAAGUCGUACUGUACCUGCCUCCUCAGCCCCGUCUCCCUACGUGCCAUCAUCCGCGGUAAUCCUUCUGGUGCAAUCUUUAUCCGGAUUUACUGGUCGUAAAGGGAGCGCAGGCGGCGAGACAAGUCUGAUGUGAAACCCCGGGGGUGAACCCCGGGCAUGCAUUGGAAACUGGCGGGCUGGAGUGCCGGAGAGGUAAGCGGAAUUAAUAGUGUAGCGGUGAAAUGCGUAGAUAGUAGGAGGAACACCAGUGGAGAAGGCGGAUUAAGGGACGGCAACUGACGCUGAGGCUCGAAAGCGUGGGGAGAAAAAAGGAUUAGAUACCCUCGUAACG